rnacentral:rRNA from 1 species
CAGUCGCCGCGGGAAUACGAAGGGUGCAAGCGUUAAUCGGAAUUACUGGGCGUAAAGCGUGCGUAGGCGGUUUGUUAAGUCUGUUGUGAAAUCCCCGGGCUCAACCUGGGAAUGGCAAUGGAUACUGGCAAGCUAGAGUGUGUCAGAGGAUGGUGGAAUUCCCGGUGUAGCGGUGAAAUGCGUAGAGAUCGGGAGGAACAUCAGUGGCGAAGGCGGCCAUCUGGGACAACACUGACGCUGAGGCACGAAAGCGUGGGGAGCAAACAGGAUUAGAUACCCCCGUAGUCCCUGUCUCUUAUAC